CGGGAGCUGGUGGAAUGGCUAACACGCAGGCUUCGGGUGCCUGAGACUAGGGGUUCAAGUCCCCUGCUCCCGA
rnacentral:tRNA from 1 species